rnacentral:rRNA from 1 species
CCUACGGGCGGCAGCAGUGGGGAUUAUUGGACAAUGGGGGCAACCCUGAUCCAGCCAUGCCGCGUGUGUUAAGAAGGCCCUCGGGUUGUAAAGCACUUUCAGUGAGGAAGAACGCCUGGUGGUUAAUACCCAUCAGGAAAGACAUCACUCACAGAAGAAGCACCGGCUAACUCCGUGCCAGCAGCCGCGGUAAUACGGAGGGUGCGAGCGUUAAUCGGAAUUACUGGGCGUAAAGCGCGCGUAGGUGGCUUGAUAAGCCGGUUGUGAAAGCCCCGGGCUCAACCUGGGAACGGCAUCCGGAACUGUCAAGCUAGAGUGCAGGAGAGGAAGGUAGAAUUCCCGGUGUAGCGGUGAAAUGCGUAGAGAUCGGGAGGAAUACCAGUGGCGAAGGCGGCCUUCUGGACUGACACUGACACUGAGGUGCGAAAGCGUGGGUAGCAAACAGGAUUAGAUACCCCUGUAGUC